CAAUCGCCAUCGGUGGCGCUUGAAAAUGACGUCAGCGCGCCUUCCUAUAAAUACAGCCCUGCUCUGCGUCACAUCCUCUUUCCGCUGCUCUUCUCGCUUCGAGACUCCUCUCUUCAAGAUGAGAGCAAAGUGGAGGAAGAAGCGCAUGCGCAGGCUGAAGCGUAAAAGGCGAAAGAUGAGGCAGAGGUCAAAGUAAGCCCUCAUCCUGCUAGCCAUGGUCCCGCCCAGUUGGACUUGAUUGACGGCUGUGACUGAAGCGGUUCUUGACCACCUGCGGCUUCCUGGCGACUGCAAGCUUCAUCUGACCUGGGACUCUAAACAUCAGAGCUGUGGCUGUUUGCUUCAUGGACCAUAAGUCAUGUCAACUGUCAUGUGGUAGUGAACAAUAAAUGAACACUGUUCCAAAACUUUAA